rnacentral:tRNA from 1 species
AAAUGAUUCUUAUCUCUUUUUGGAGAGAUGGCCGAGAGGAUUAAAGCGUCGGAUUGCUAAUCCGCCGUACAAUUUAUAUGUACCGAG